AUUCGUCAAAUGAAAUUAAAUCCGAGUGGCGGACGGGUGAGUAACGCGUGGAUAACCUGCCUCACACAGGGGGACAACAGCCGGAAACGGCUGCUAAUACCGCAUAACACAAGCAAUUCGCAUGAAUAGCUUGUCAAAGAUUUUAUCGGUGUGAGAUGGAUCCGCGUCUGAUUAGCCAGUUGGCGGGGUAACGGCCCACCAAAGCGACGAUCAGUAGCCGACCUGAGAGGGUGACCGGCCACAUUGGGACUGAGACACGGCCCAAACUCC
rnacentral:rRNA from 1 species